GAUGAAGAACGUAGCGAAAUGCGAUAAGUAAUGUGAAUUGCAGAAUUCAGUGAAUCAUCGAAUCUUUGAACGCACAUUGCGCCCCCUGGUAUUCCGGGGGGCAUGCCUGUCCGAGCGUCAUUACAACCCUCAAGCUCAGCUUGGUGUUGGGCCCCGCCGCCCCGGCGGGCCCUAAAGUCAGUGGCGGUGCCGUCCGGCUCCGAGCGUAGUAAUUCUUCUCGCUCUGGAGGUCCGGUCGUGUGCUCGCCAGCAACCCCCAUUUUUUUUCAGGUUGACCUCGGAUCAGGUAGGGAUACCCGCUGAACUUAAGCAUAUCAAUAAGCGGAGGA
rnacentral:misc_RNA from 1 species